UACAGAGGGUGCGAGCGUUGUUCGGAAUUAUUGGGCGUAAAGGGCGCGUAGGCGGUGCGGUAAGUCACCUGUGAAAUCUCCUGGCUCAACUGGGAGCUUGCAGGCGAAACUGCCGUGCUGGAGUGUGGGAGAGGUGAGUGGAAUUCCCGGUGUAGCGGUGAAAUGCGUAGAUAUCGAGAGGAACACCUGUGGCGAAAGCGGCUCACUGGACCACAACUGACGCUGAGGCGCGAAAGCUAGGGGAGCAAACAGG
rnacentral:rRNA from 1 species